GACGAACGCUGGCGGCGUGCUUAACACAUGCAAGUCGAACGGAAAGGCCCUGCUUUUGUGGGGUGCUCGAGUGGCGAACGGGUGAGUAACACGUGAGUAACCUGCCCUUUACUUUGGGAUAACUUCAGGAAACUGGGGCUAAUACCGGAUAGGAGCUCCUGCUGCAUUGUGGGGGUUGGAAAGUUUCGGCGGUUGGGGAUGGACUCGCGGCUUAUCAGCUUGUUGGUGGGGUAGUGGCUUACCAAGGCUUUGACGGGUAGCCGGCCUGAGAGGGUGACCGGCGACAUUGGGACUGAGAUACGGCCCAGAGUCCUACGGGAGGCAGCAGUGGGGAAUAUUGCACAAUGGGCGGAAGCCUGAUGCAGCAACGCCGCGUGCGGGAUGACGGCCUUCGGGUUGUAAACCGCUUUCGCCUGUGACGAAGCGUGAGUGACGGUAAUGGGUAAAGAAGCACCGGCUAACUACGUG
rnacentral:rRNA from 1 species